rnacentral:rRNA from 2 species
GUGGUUCAUGACUGGGGUGAAGUCGUAACAAGGUAGCGCUAGGGGAACCUGGCGCUGGAUCACCUCCUUACACGA